GGGAGUGUGGCGGAAUGGUAGACGCUGCGGACUUAAAAUCCGCUGUUGGUAAAACGACGUGGGGGUUCAAGUCCCCCCACUCCCA
rnacentral:tRNA from 1 species